AUACGUAGGUGGCAAGCGUUGUCCGGAAUUAUUGGGCGUAAAGCGCGCGCAGGUGGUUCCUUAAGUCUGAUGUGAAAGCCCCCGGCUCAACCGGGGAGGGUCAUUGGAAACUGGGGAACUUGAGUGCAGAAGAGGAUAGUGGAAUUCCAAGUGUAGCGGUGAAAUGCGUAGAGAUUUGGAGGAACACCAGUGGCGAAGGCGACGGUCUGGUCUGUAACUGACACUGAGGCGCGAAAGCGUGGGGAGCAAACAGGAUUAGAUACCCUGGUAGUCCACGCCGUAAACGAUGAGUGCUAAGUGUUGGGGGGUUUCCGCCCCUCAGUGCUGCAGCUAACGCAUUAAGCACUCCGCCUGGGGAGUACGGUCGCAAGACUGAAACUCAAAGGAAUUGACGGGG
rnacentral:rRNA from 1 species